rnacentral:rRNA from 1 species
UACGGAGGGUGCGAGCGUUGUUCGGAAUUACUGGGCGUAAAGCGUGCGCAGGCGGCUUCUCAAGUCAGGGGUGAAAGCCCAGAGCUCAACUCUGGGAUUGCCUUUGAGACUGAGUGGCUUGAGUACGAGAGAGGUGAGUGGAAUUCCCAGUGUAGAGGUGAAAUUCGUAGAUAUUGGGAAGAACACCGGUGGCGAAGGCGGCUCACUGGCUCGUAACUGACGCUCAUGCACGACAGCGUGGGGAUCAAACAGG